rnacentral:rRNA from 1 species
CCUACGGGUGGCAGCAGUGGGGAAUAUUGGACAAUGGGCGAAAGCCUGAUCCAGCCAUGCCGCGUGUGUGAAGAAGGCCUUCGGGUUGUAAAGCACUUUCAGUGGGGAAGAAAGCCUUGGGGCUAAUACCCUCGAGGAAGGACAUCACCCACAGAAGAAGCACCGGCUAACUCCGUGCCAGCAGCCGCGGUAAUACGGAGGGUGCGAGCGUUAAUCGGAAUUACUGGGCGUAAAGCGCGCGUAGGCGGUCUGAUAAGCCGGUUGUGAAAGCCCCGGGCUCAACCUGGGAACGGCAUCCGGAACUGUCAGGGUAGAGUGCAGGAGAGGAAGGUAGAAUUCCCGGGGUAGCGGUGAAAUGCGUAGAGAUCGGGAGGAAUACCAGUGGCGAAGGCGGCCUUCUGGACUGACACUGACGCUGAGGUGCGAAAGCGUGGGUAGCAAACAGGAUUAGAUACCCGGGUAGUC